GCCUACAAUAAAAGAAACGGACAGUACAUGUAAAAGAAAUACAAGAAGAGAUCACACGUUUGUUGAAUUCUUAUUUUCCCCGAUCC
rnacentral:ribozyme from 1 species